GUGGAAAUGAUCACAGGACCAUCUUGCCUGCCUGUUGAGAAGGCAUCAGGAAGACCAAAGAACUCACCAUGCCAAAGUCAUUCUGUGUGUGAGAUUGGAGUCCCUUCUAGGCUCUGUCUUUUGGAAACAGUGUCACAUCCUCUACUCUCUCGAGCUGUGACCUUUCUGAGUGGGCUCUGCCCCUGCUGAGGAGACCUGAAGUUGUCCAGCUGUUUCAGUGAGUGUUAAAUUCUAAGCACCGAGGACAAAAGCCCUAAUGCCCUAAGAGAUUAUCGUGGGUUGGUAAUCAAGGAAGACGAAAUUUCAGAGAUGGCAGAGGCACAGAAGUUCAUGUGCUUGUACCUCUGAACUUCCCCCAUUCAAGGCAAAGUUUAUUAAAAUGUCCCUUUUAUCUUAUUUAAAAUUUUGUGUGU